rnacentral:rRNA from 1 species
UUUGUGGAGAGUUUGAUCCUGGCUCAGGAUGAACGCUGGCGGCGUGCUUAACACAUGCAAGUCGAACGGAAAGGCCC